rnacentral:rRNA from 1 species
GAUGAACGCUGGCGGCGUGCCUAAUACAUGCAAGUCGAGCGAACGGACGAGAAGCUUGCUUCUCUGAUGUUAGCGGCGGACGGGUGAGUAACACGUGGAUAACCUACCUAUAAGACUGGGAUAACUUCGGGAAACCGGAGCUAAUACCGGAUGAUAUUUUGAACCGCAUGGUUCAAAAGUGAAAGACGGUCUUGCUGUCACUUAUAGAUGGAUCCGCGCUGCAUUAGCCAGUUGGUAAGGUAACGGCUUACCAAGGCAACGAUGCAUAGCCGACCUGAGAGGGUGAUCGGCCACACUGGAACUGAGACACGGUCCAGACUCCUACGGGAGGCAGCAGUAGGGAAUCUUCCGCAAUGGGCGAAAGCCUGACGGAGCAACGCCGCGUGAGUGAUGAAGGCCUUCGGAUCGUAAAACUCUGUUAUUAGGGAAGAACAUAUGUGUAAGUAACUGUGCACAUCUUGACGGUACCUAAUCAGAAAGCCACGGCUAACUACGUG